AUAAUAAAAUGAAUUAAGAUUGUAUCUACUGAACAAGAAAGAAUGUGUAUUAUCACAAAAAAUGGUAAAAACUUUUCUAGACUUUCACUCUGUAGAAUUUUGUCUUGGAAUUCAGGACGAGAAAAUUCUUUCUUCUUUUUUUUAUUUUUUCAUUUCCGCCUUCUUGAUGUGUAAUUUACAGAAAAUUUUUGAGUUUCAAAUCAUGUGUAGCUUUGUUCUGUUUUCUCUUUGGGUGUUUUAACGUACUCUAGAUAAUAUUUCCAUCAGCUGUCAGUAAGCUACAGAUGUGGACACAUCCUGCUUGGAACCCUCCUGGGAGUCACCCUUGUUACUGAACCAGAUAAAUUGAGGAAGAAUGGAGAGGAAUGCCAACUACACUCACCACCACCUACUGUGUUCCGGACCAUCCACUGUGCAGACUCUUGAGUAAAAUUUAAUAAAAAUAUAUCCACGCCUAAAUACUAUUCACACACUUCUCCAUCAGGGGGCGUGGAGUUAGCAGGGAGAACCCUGGUCAGAAAAUAUGAAGACCAAGUUUCCUGCUCUAAAUUUAUCACUAAAUUGCUAUGUGACCUCAAGCAAAUCACUUUAUGAAACAAGAUGGACAUGAUUUUUCCUUAUUCCCUCCUGCCAACUUACUGGCCCACUUAUUCCUUACUGGCCUACCAGAAGCGAGUGAAAGAGGCUGCUUGCCAGGAGGUGAGAGGAACCAGAGGACAGUGGUAAUGCAAUGCGUUUUGGGUUUCAAAUACCAAAAUUGGGACAGUGGAAAAUUCCUCAAGUGAUUUGGACGACCAGUAAUAUCGACUGUAACUACUGGGGAUUUCUUAGAACAGUUCUCAAAGGAAUACACCUUACAUUAUGACCCAGGACACAAACAUACACAAAUGUCUACAAACGUACAUAAGUAUGUUAUUAUUGCAUUUUAUUAUGCAAUAGAAUUUUCUAUUCUGUGAUGUUUUGGUUUGUGUUUGUUUUUUAAUGCUUGGCUUCCAACAGCCGUUUCAAAGCAUUGUCUUGGGCUACAGGGAGUAGGGUCAGCAGCUGUCUCCUUUAGUCUGGGGUGUGGAUUUUAGAACAGAUGUUUGUUAUUCGCUCCCAAGCUUCCUAGGCAAUUUGCCAGUGUGGUUGUCCUGCUGUUGGUCUUUGAGUGUUUGGCCCAUCUGUCCUGCAUCUUGAGGAGAGUGGGGUUAGAAGUGGGAACAAGGAGAGAAAGCUCAUUAAACAUGGCUCGUUCUAGGAUUCAGAAUGUGGUGGGUCUGCACUGAAUUUCCCUGUCAGAGAGAGGAUUCUUUAAAAGAAAUUAGAAUCUAUGAUUCCAAAAUUCCUAAAAAAAAAAUUAAGCAAUUCAGAAAUGUAGUCAUCUCCUGCUAUAUUUUUUUAAUUUUAUUUUUUACUGCUUUAGAUCAGUAAUCUGUUACUGAAAAUCAGUUGUUCUGCAUGAACGACUCUUAGAUUAUUUAUCUUAGAAAACUCAUAAUUGUAAAUUAUUUCUCUGCCCCGUUGAGAUGUAAAUCUUUUAAAAAGCCUCUUGUCAG